rnacentral:rRNA from 1 species
UACGAAGGGGGCUAGCGUUGUUCGGAUUUACUGGGCGUAAAGCGCACGUAGGCGGAUCGUUAAGUCGGGGGUGAAAUCCUGGAGCUCAACUCCAGAACUGCCUUCGAUACUGGCGAUCUUGAGUCCGGAAGAGGUGAGUGGAACUCCUAGUGUAGAGGUGGAAUUCGUAGAUAUUAGGAAGAACACCAGUGGCGAAGGCGGCUCACUGGUCCGGUACUGACGCUGAGGCACGAAAGCGUGGGGAGCGAACAGG